GAUGAACGCUGGCGGCGUGCCUAAUACAUGCAAGUCGAGCGAACAGAUGAGGAGCUUGCUCCUCUGACGUUAGCGGCGGACGGGUGAGUAACACGUGGAUAACCUACCUAUAAGACUGGGAUAACUUCGGGAAACCGGAGCUAAUACCGGAUAAUAUAUUGAACCGCAUGGUUCAAUAGUGAAAGACGGUUUUGCUGUCACUUAUAGAUGGAUCCGCGCCGCAUUAGCUAGUUGGUAAGGUAACGGCUUACCAAGGCAACGAUGCGUAGCCGACCUGAGAGGGUGAUCGGCCACACGGGAACUAAGACACGGUCCAGACUCCUACGGGAGGCAGCAGUAGGGAAUCUUCCGCAAUGGGCGAAAGCCUGACGGAGCAACGCCGCGUGAGUGAUGAAGGUCUUCGGAUCGUAAAACUCUGUUAUUAGGGAAGAACAAAUGUGUAAGUAACUAUGCACGUCUUGACGGUACCUAAUCAGAAAGCCACGGCUAACUACGUG
rnacentral:rRNA from 1 species